rnacentral:rRNA from 1 species
AUUGAACGCUGGCGGCAUGCCUAACACAUGCAAGUCGAACGGCAGCACGGUCUAGCUUGCUAGACUGGUGGCGAGUGGCGCACGGGUGAGUAACGCGUAGGAAUAUACCUUAAAGAGGGGGACAACUUGGGGAAACGCAAGCUAAUACCGCAUAAUCUCUUAGGAGGAAAGCUGGGGACCGUAAGGCCUGGCGCUUUAAGAAUAGCCUGCGUCCGAUUAGCUAGUUGGUGGGGUAAAGGCCUACCAAGGCGACGAUCGGUAGCUGGUCUGAGAGGAUGGACAGCCACACUGGAACUGAGAGACGGUCCAGACUCCUACGGGAGGCUG